GAUGAACGCUGGCGGCGUGCCUAAUACAUGCAAGUCGAGCGAACAGACGAGGAGCUUGCUCCUCUGACGUUAGCGGCGGACGGGUGAGUAACACGUGGAUAACCUACCUAUAAGACUGGGAUAACUUCGGGAAACCGGAGCUAAUACCGGAUAAUAUAUUGAACCGCAUGGUUCAAUAGUGAAAGACGGUUUUGCUGUCACUUAUAGAUGGAUCCGCGCCGCAUUAGCUAGUUGGUAAGGUAACGGCUUACCAAGGCGACGAUGCGUAGCCGACCUGAGAGGGUGAUCGGCCACACUGGAACUGAGACACGGUCCAGACUCCUACGGGAGGCAGCAGUAGGGAAUCUUCCGCAAUGGGCGAAGGCUUGACGGAGCAACGCCGCGUGAGUGAUGAAGGUCUUCGGAUCGUAAAACUCUGUUAUUAGGGAAGAACAAAUGUGUAAGUAACUAUGCACGUCUUGACGGUACCUAAUCAGAAAGCCACGGCUAACUACGUG
rnacentral:rRNA from 1 species